CGAGGCGAGAGAGAAAGGCAUUGAUACUAGAGAUGCCAUCAUUACUCGUAAACCUCAUAUGCCUUGCUCUUUACGGCAAAGAGAGCCUGGCCGAGCAUGGUAAAAGAGAUCUUCGGUCUCAUUGAAAACAGGAUCUUGCAAAGCCCCAUACCUUCCUGGAGAACCCUGCCGCUUAGAACAUCUACAAUGAUUCCAGAGUUUCCGGAUUACAAAGGUCGAUAUAUCACAAUGCUCCUUGGUCACGAGUCCGGUGGCUCCAUUAGUGCGCUUCUUAAAAGCCUUGGCGCCUUCAAGCAUGAAAGGAACGUGGAAACUUGAAUUACUCUUUUUUCCACCUUGGAAUUGAGUUAACGGACAUGGGAAAUGCUACAUUAAACUUGUGCAUGAGAAAGGAGUUGUAAUCAUGUCAUUCAAGGUAAUACAUUUUGCAGCUUAC